UGUAAUUAUACCACAUGAACAGAAAGAGGGGGAAAAAACGAUCAUCUCAAUUGAUGCAGAAAAAAAAACAUUUGAAAAACUUCAGCAUCCUUUCAUUAAAAAAACAAAUUAUGAAUACAAGGAAACUAAGUCAACAUAAUAAGAAGUCAGAUACAAACAACUCGGAGCAAACACUGCACUCAGCUGUGAAAGAUGGAAGCGUUAAAGCCCAUCUUAACCAAAUGGCUGCACCUUAACUAGUUACAUCUGCAAGGACCCUAUUUUUAAAUAAAUUUACUCUUAUGAGUUAAAUUGUGUCACCUAAAAAAGAUAUUUGAAGAGAAAAAACUCAAUGAAACAAAAAGGUGGUUCUUUAAAAAGAUCAAUAAUAUUAAGCAACUUUUUGCUAGACUGUCUUAGUCUGUUCAGGCUGCCGUAACAAAAUGCCAUAGACUGGGUAGCUUACCUACAGUAGAAACCUAUUUUUCACAGUUCUGGAAGUCCAAGAUCAGGGUGCCCGCACGGGUGGGUGACGUCCCUCUUCUGGGUCACAGAUUUCUCAUUAUAUCAUCGCAUGCAUAAGGGGCUAGGUAUCUCUCUGGAGCCUCUUUUGUAAGAGCACUAAUAGCGUUCAUGGGGACUCUGCCCUCAUGACCUAAUAGCCUUCCAAAAGCCCCACCUCCUGUUACCAUCACAUCAGGUGUUAGGAUUUGACAUAACCAUUUUGAAAGGAUACACACCUUCAGACUAUAAUAGCAUAGACUUACAAAGAAAAAAAGAGAAGAUGCAAAUAACUUAAACCAAAAGUGAAAGUGGGGACAUUUUUACCAAACUUAUAGAGAUACAAAGGAUAAGAGAAUACUAUAAACAAUUGAACACCAACAUAUUAGAUAAUUUAGAAGAAAUGGACAGAUUUUUUUUGAAACACACCAGUUACCUAAACUGUCUCAAAAAGAAAGUCUCAACAGACCUAUAACAAGUAAAGAUAUUGAAUGAGUAAUCAAAAACUCUGAAGAAAGAAAAGUCCUGAACCAAUAGCUUUACAGGUGAUUUCUACCAAAUAUUUAAAGAAUUAACACCAAACCCCAUCAAAUUCUUCCAAAAAAUUGAGCAGAGGGAAGCACUUCCUGACUCAUCAUAGGAGGCCAGCAUUAUUCUGAUACCAAAGCCAGAUAAAGACAUCAGAAGAAAAGAUUAUAGACAAAUGUCCCUUGUGAAUAUAAAUGCAAAAGUUCUCGUCGAGAUAUUAGCAAAUUUGAUUUGACAACGUAUUUAAAGAAUUAUUCACCACAACCACGUGGGAUUUAUCCCAGGAAUGCAAGGGUGAUUCAACAUCAAAAAAUCAAACAGUGUAAUACAUUAUGUUAACAAAAUGAAGGCAACAAAAUCACAUCCUUAAGCACGAUAGACAGGAAACCAAGGCAGGAAGGAGAAGGGAGCCCUGUCUCACCCACUAACAGCAGUCCUGAGCCUGGUCCGACAAUACUGCCGGGUGUUCCAACAGCACAGGAAACAUUAUGUUAGCACGGGGAGAGGGGAGUCCUUGAACUUCCACUAUCUGGGAAGGAAAGCCUUUGAAACUGUGUAUUCAUCCCAAGGUCUAGAAAGGGGAGAAGGAGGAGUGCACCAUGCCCAAAGAGAAAAUCCAUAAAUAACUUUGUUUAACUGCCUCAAUAUUAAUUAACUGCCUCCUGUCAUGCAUCUGUUUUACAAGAUGAGCAAAUGGGAUCUGGAGCGAGAUUAGGAUUUGGGCUAACAGGCCCCCACACAUACCUAAGUUUGGGUAGUCAUGCUCCCUCAAGUCCUGUGGAAAGCUGGCACCACCUUUACCUGUCAAUCAAUAUAGAACUUCUUCAUCCCAUCCCGCCAACUAUGUAAGUCCUUAACACGAAGGACCUGAUGCCCCCUACCUUGCCCUGCCCUGAACCUAUGCCUUUCAACCCCCACCUUAGCUUGGACCAUUCUCUUCCAUGAGAAUGCAUCACUAAUAAAACCUGCUUGCAUGCUAAUAGACUUGCUGAUCUGCAAUUCUUCACUGCAUCGGCAAGAAGAACCGAGUUUCUCCACUGAUGGGCACCAAAUCUG